rnacentral:lncRNA from 1 species
GCGCCAGCGAGCAGUAGUACUCAUAUACUCAUAAACUCAUAUACUCAUGCAUAUACAUGGGAUGCCCUACGAGGUGUACCCGGGUGCCCCCAGCACCCCCCGACCAAACAAAUCAAUCGACAGGAAUGGAAGCCUGCAGGCAACUGCUGACUGGCCUGCCUGGACUUGGCUUGGUUUCUUCGUUUUUCCGAAUCGAUGGGAUCGACUUCCAAAGCAAAGCGUACGCAGCGACGUGAGCAAUAUAUAACGCGGAUGAGGAAUAAGAGCAAUCCUGCAGCUAGAAAUUCCCUUUGAAGACGCGCUGACCGGGGAGAGUUUGUGCGGUGGUGGUUGGCGGAUUUGGAUUCGGAUUUGGGUGAGGUUG